UACGUAGGUGGCAAGCGUUAUCCGGAUUUAUUGGGCGUAAAGGGAACGCAGGCGGUCUUUUAAGUCUGAUGUGAAAGCCUUCGGCUCAACCGUGGAACAGCCCUUGAUACUGCGCGACUUGAAUCCGGGAGAGGGUGGCGGAAUUCCAGGUGUAGGAGUGAAAUCCGUAGAUAUCUGGAGGAACAUCGGUGGCGAAAGCGGCUCUCUGGCCUGUAACUGACACUGAGGCUCGAAAGCGUGGGGAGCAAACAGG
rnacentral:rRNA from 1 species